rnacentral:rRNA from 1 species
UACGAAGGGGGCUAGCGUUGUUCGGAAUUACUGGGCGUAAAGCGCGCGCAGGCGGCCAUUCAAGUCGAGGGGUGAAAGCCCAGAGCUCAACUCUGGAACUGCCCUUGAAACUGUAUGGCUUGAGUAUGAGAGAGGUGAGUGGAAUUCCCAGUGUAGAGGUGAAAUUCGUAGAUAUUGGGAAGAACACCGGUGGCGAAGGCGGCUCACUGGCUCAUUACUGACGCUCAGGCGCGACAGCGUGGGGAUCAAACAGG